CAGGACUCAAGUUAGCCUGAUCCGCCCUCCUCACAAGACUCAAGGGACACUAAGCCCACCCGAGCUGCAUCUUCGCUCCCACAGUUCAAAUAUCCCUAAGCCUCGUGAGGCAAAAGUCAAGCAUGCUGACUUAACCGAAAGCGCUAUUUACUAUACUUGGGUACCUAGGGUGGUUUUAAGAAAAUAAGAAUUCCUAAAAAGAUAAUGACGAAUAAAACAAAUUCCUAUUAUCUGUAAAUCCUG
rnacentral:lncRNA from 1 species